rnacentral:rRNA from 1 species
AGAUUAAGUUAUUAAGGGCGCACGGUGGAUGCCUUGGCACUAGAAGCCGAUGAAGGACGUUACUAACGACGAUAUGCUUUGGGGAGCUGUAAGUAAGCUUUGAUCCAGAGAUUUCCGAAUGGGGAAACCCAGCAUGAGUUAUGUCAUGUUAUCGAUAUGUGAAUACAUAGCAUAUCAGAAGGCACACCCGGAGAACUGAAACAUCUUAGUACCCGGAGGAAGAGAAAGAAAAUUCGAUUCCCUUAGUAGCGGCGAGCGAAACGGGAAGAGCCCAAACCAACAAGCUUGCUUGUUGGGGUUGUAGGACACUCUAUACGGAGUUACAAAGGACGACAUUAGACGAAUCAUCUGGAAAGAUGAAUCAAAGAAGGUAAUAAUCCUGUAGUCGAAAAUGUUGUCUCUCUUGAGUGGAUCCUGAGUACGACGGAGCACGUGAAAUUCCGUCGGAAUCUGGGAGGACCAUCUCCUAAGGCUAAAUACUCUCUAGUGACCGAUAGUGAACCAGUACCGUGAGGGAAAGGUGAAAAGCACCCCGGAAGGGGAGUGAAAUAGAACCUGAAACCGUGUGCUUACAAGUAGUCAGAGCCCGUUAAUGGGUGAUGGCGUGCCU